UACGUAGGCAGCGAGCGUUGUUCGGAAUUACUGGGCGUAAAGAGUGUGUAGGCGGUGCUCUAAGUUCGGUGUGAAAUCUCCUGGCUCAACUGGGAGGGUGCGCCGGAAACUGGAGUGCUUGAGCGUGGGAGAGGAAAGCGGAAUUCCUGGUGUAGCGGUGAAAUGCGUAGAGAUUGGAAAGAACACCGAUGGCGAAGGCACUUUACUGGGCUAUUACUAACACUCAGAGACGAAAGCUAGGGUAGCAAAUGGG
rnacentral:rRNA from 1 species